GGAAUGUGGCUCAAGUGGUAACGCACUCGCCUAGCAUGCGUGAGGCACUGGGUUUGAUUCUCAGUACCA
rnacentral:tRNA from 1 species